UCCCCAUACCAAAUCCCUUAAGAAUUGCAGGAUGUGACGCAGAUGAGGAAAAAUCCAUUCUAGAGGGGAGAUGCUAGAUGAUGGAAAACCUGGAUCUCAUCGGUCUCUGGUGGAGAUCUCCAACAUGCAGCAAGAAUAGACUACAAGAGGCUGCACUUAGCCUCCAGAGUUGUCUCUUCAACAAGACAGGUCUGAUCAUCUCAGUAACCUUCUUCUGGGACUCCUGUUAGACGUGUAUAUUUAAUACCAUUGGCUAAGUCGUAACAAUCAUCCAAGUCAACCGACCUCCCAGCCUGCCCACAUUGCCUCCCUGUAGGAAGUGAUUUUGCACACAGAAGCCCCUGGUGGGGUAGGGUGGAGUGUGAAGUAUCUGUUCUUGGACCACAGUUCCAUCCCUGGAGCAGCAAUUGUGAAGCAUCGUUCUCCUGUUCCAGCAUCUCUCCAAAGACGCUCAGGUCUCCGUCACAGGAUCACCAUUGAAAAAGGUGUCUGUCCCUCUGACACAUACCCAGGGGAGGAAAGAGCAAGCUUUGGAGGC